rnacentral:rRNA from 1 species
GAGUAGCAAUACAGGAUCUGUUCAGUGGCGCACGGGUGAGUAACACGUGAAUCACAUGCCCUUCAGUGGGGGAUAGCCCAGGGAAACUUGGAUUAAUACCCCAUGGUCUCGCAAGAGUAAAGGCGGCCGCAAGGCUGUCGCUGGAGGAUUGGUUCGCGCCCUAUCAGCUUGUUGGCGGGGUAACGGCCCACCAAGGCUACGACGGGUACCUGGUCUGAGAGGACGAUCAGGCACACUGGAACUGAGACACGGUCCAGACACCUACGGGUGGCAGCAGUCGAGAAUAAUUCACAAUGGGGGCAACCCUGAUGGUGCAACGCCGCGUGGAGGAUGACGGUCUUCGGAUUGUAAACUCCUGUCAUCCGGGAGUAAGACCUGGCCGUUAAUAGCGGACAGGGUUGAUAGUACCGGAAGAGGAAGGGACGGCUAACUUCGUGCCAGCAGCCGCGGUAAUACGAAGGUCCCGAGCGUUGUUCGGAAUCACUGGGCGUAAAGGGAGCGUAGGCGGCGUGGCAAGUCAGACGUGAAAUCCCGGGGCUCAACCCCGGAACUGCGUCCGAUACUGCCGCGCUUAGAGGAUUGGAGAGGUAGCUGGAAUUCUUGGUGUAGCAGUGAAAUGCGUGGAUAUCAAGAGGAACACUCGUGGCGAAAGCGAGCUACUGGACAACUCCUGACGCUGAGGCUCGAAGGCCAGGGUAGCGAAAGGGAUUAGAUACCCCUGUAGUCCUGGCAGUAAACGGUGCACGCUUGGUGUGAGGGGAAUCGACCCCCCUUGUGCCGGAGCUAACGCGUUAAGCGUGCCGCCUGGGAAGUACGGUCGCAAGACUAAAACUCAAAGAAAUUGACGGGGACCCGCACAAGCGGUGGAGUAUGUGGCUUAAUUCGAUGCAACGCGAAGAACCUUACCUGGGCUUGACAUGCAUCUCUAAGCGCGUGAAAGCGCGUGACCCUUCGGGGGAUUUGCACAGGUGCUGCAUGGCCGUCGUCAGCUCGUGUCGUGAGAUGUUGGGUUAAGUCCCGCAACGAGCGCAACCCUUGUGACUAGUUGCCAGCGCGUCAUGGCGGGAACUCUAGUCAGACUGCCCAGAUCAACUGGGAGGAAGGUGGGGACGACGUCAGGUCAGUAUGGCCCUUACGCCCAGGGCUGCACACGUACUACAAUGCCCAGCACAAUGAGAACCGAGACCGCGAGGUGGAGGAAAUCUGUAAAACUGGGCCCAGU